ACCCAGUUGAAGAGUUCCAAAUAAGACGAAACGCGCGUCCUGGAU
rfam:Schistosoma haematobium scaffold35_11, whole genome shotgun sequence.